rnacentral:rRNA from 1 species
CUACGGGUCGCUGCAGUGGGGAAUAUUGCACAAUGGGCGCAAGCCUGAUGCAGCCAUGCCGCGUGUAUGAAGAAGGCCUUCGGGUUGUAAAGUACUUUCAGCGGGGAGGAAGGGAGUAAAGUUAAUACCUUUGCUCAUUGACGUUACCCGCAGAAGAAGCACCGGCUAACUCCGUGCCAGCAGCCGCGGUAAUACGGAGGGUGCAAGCGUUAAUCGGAAUUACUGUGCGUAAAGCGCACGCAGGCGGUUUGUUAAGUCAGAUGUGAAAUCCCCGGGCUCAACCUGGGAACUGCAUCUGAUACUGGCAAGCUCGAGUCUCGUAGAGGGGGGUAGAAUUCCAGGUGUAGCGGUGAAAUGCGUAGAGAUCUGGAGGAAUACCGGUGGCGAAGGCGGACCCCUGGACGAAGACUGACGCUCAGGUGCGAAAGCGUGGGGAGCAAACAGGAUUAGAUACCCGUGUAGUC